AGGGUUUGAUCAUGGCUCAGAUUGAACGCUGGCGGCAUGCCUAACACAUGCAAGUCGAACGGAAACGAUGCUAGCUUGCUAGCAGGCGUCGAGUGGCGGACGGGUGAGUAAUGUAUAGGGAUCUGCCUAGUAGUGGGGGACAACAUGUGGAAACGCAUGCUAAUACCGCAUACGCUCUACGGAGGAAAGUGGGGGACCUUUCGGGGCCUCAUGCUACUAGAUGAACCUAUAUUGGAUUAGCUUGUUGGUAAGGUAAUGGCUUACCAAGGCGACGAUCCAUAGCUGGUUUGAGAGAAUGAUCAGCCACACUGGGACUGAGACACGGCCCAGACUCCUACGGGAGGCAGCAGUGGGGAAUAUUGCACAAUGGACGAAAGUCUGAUGCAGCAAUGCCGCGUGUGUGAGGAAGGCCUUAGGGUUGUAAAGCACUUUCAGACGUGAGGAAAAGUAAUAAUUUAAUAAAUUAUUACCUUGACGUUAACGUCAGAAGAAGGACCGGCUAACUCCGUGCCAGCAGCCGCGGUAAUACGGAGGGUCCAAGCGUUAAUCGGAAUUACUGGGCGUAAAGCGCGCGUAGGCGGAUAUUUAAGUCAGAUGUGAAAUCCCUGGGCUCAACCUAGGAACUGCAUUUGAUACUGGAUAUCUAGAGUAUGGUAGAGGUGAGUGGAAUUUCAGGUGUAGCGGUGAAAUGCGUAGAGAUCUGAAGGAACAUCAGUGGCGAAGGCGACUCACUGGGCCAUUACUGACGCUGAGGUGCGAAAGCGUGGGUAGCAAACAGGAUUAGAUACCCUGGUAGUCCACGCCCUAAACGAUGUCAACUAGGUGUAUGGGAGUUUAACUCCUGUGUAUCGAAGCUAACGCGAUAAGUUGACCGCCUGGGGAGUACGGUCGCAAGACUAAAACUCAAAUGAAUUGACGGGGG
rnacentral:rRNA from 1 species